rnacentral:misc_RNA from 1 species
AAACCUUCAAGCUCUGCUUGGUGUUGGGCAUGUCACGCCCCCCUCCGCGGGGGUGUGCGCCUCAAAUCUAUUGGCGGCCGGUACGUUGGCUUCGAGCGCAGCAGAAACGCGAACUCGGGGACUCCGGAUCGGCCCUCCACAAGCUAUUUUAUCA